CGCCGUGGGCACCGCCAUGGCGGUCCCGGGGCUGCUCCUGGAGCGUCGGGUCCUGGGACCCUCCUCGGGCUCUGGGACCCGCCCGAGAAGCUGUGGCUGCCCCUGGAUCCCUGGCAGUGUUCCAGGACAGGUUGGACGGGGUUUGGAGCCACCUGGGAUAAUGGAAAGUGUCGCUGUCCAUGGCAGGAGGAUGGGCUCGAUGCUCUUUGAGGUCCCUUCCAACCAAAGCUUUCCGUGGCUCUAUCAGGUUUUUAUCCUCUGGCAAGUGAGGAAAUCGCAUUUUCAGGAGGUCACAGGGGUUUGGAGGGAGAGCCACGCUGGCUGACGGCACCUCAGGCUUUAAACCUGAGGGAACUCAUGUUUAAAGGGAAUUCGUGUUUAAACCCCGACUCACUUUGCCCUGGGAGGCACCAACUUUGUCACCAGAGGGCAGGAGACCUCUCUAAUAAAGCUGCCAUCGGGAAAAGUGCUGGAA